rnacentral:misc_RNA from 1 species
UGUUGGAAUCAUUUGAAUAAUAUGAUUUUAUCUUUCACUGUGUGCCAAAUAUAUAUACUUACAUUGAAAUAAAUAUAUUAAAGCAGAGAAGGGGAAAAAUUCUGUCGGUCAAUUUUAAAACGAAUGAAACUGAUGAGUUUCUUGGACCAGCUAUAAUAUUGUACAGUUGUAUAGUCACAAUACAAGUUUAUAUAAAAUAAUAUAUCGCAUAUACAAAUAUGCAACAGAGUCAGGAUGGAGUGGAUCGGUUAACGGAGUUUAAGUAGUAGGAGAACACAGCAGUCAGACUUGCCAGAUUGAAAAUAAGCCAGUAACACGAGUAUACUGUUAGCUGACUGUUCGUUCGUUGCAUUUAUUACUCAUAAAAAAAUUUAUUAAUCAUCGCAAAAAUUUAACGUAAUUUAUAAAAUUAAUAAAAUUAAUAAAACAAAUAUAAAAAAAUUAUUUUUUUUCAUCUUCAAAUGAUAUAUAAAGUGUUUUAAAAAAAUAAAAAGAAAAAAAAAACAAAAAUAAAAAAAAACAUUAUGACUUCGGUGUUUUCAAAAUUAAUUGAUAAAACAUCAGCAAAAUGUGGUAUUCAACAAGGAACUAUGACUCGUGGAGUUGUUGCUGCUGUAACAACAUUUUACAUGAUCAAAUUAACAUAUCCGUAUUUAAUAAAAAUGAAAAAAUCAAAACAAAAAAAUACUGAUAAUGAUAAAUUAAAAAUAGAAAAUAAUUUUAAUAAUGACAAUAAUAAUAAUAAUAGUAAUAAUGAAAAUAAAAAUAAUAGUAAAAAAUUAGAUGGUGAUAUUAAUCUUGGUUUAAAUAGAGUUUUUUUAAAACAAUUAUUAAUGUUAUUAAAAAUAAUGGUACCAGGAUGGCGUUCAAAAGAAACUGGUUUAUUAAUAUGUGCAACAAUAACACUUCUUGCUCGUACAUUUAUAUCUGUUUAUGUUGCAACACUUGAAGGACAAAUUGUCAAACGUAUUGUACUCAAGGAUGUCAGUGGUUUUUUUAAAAUGUUAACAAGAUGGUUUGCAAUUGCAUUACCAGCAACAUUUGUUAAUUCUGUUAUUCGUUAUCUUGAAGGAAGACUUGCAUUAAGUUUUCGUGAACGUCUUGUUAAGUAUGCAUACAAAAUGUAUUUGAGUCAACAAACAUAUUAUCGAGUUUCAACACUGGACAAUAGACUUGGAGGGGCCGAACAAAGACUGACCGAUGAUUUAUCGGAAUUAGCUAGUUCAGUUGCACAUCUUUAUUCAAGUCUUACAAAACCAUUACUUGAUUGUGUACUUGUUGGUAUUGCACUUGUAUCAUUUUCAACAAAACUCGGUGCUAAAACAGUACCAGGUCCACUUGUUGCUGUUGGUGUUAUUGCAAUAACCGGUCAGGUACUUAGACUUGCAUCACCAAAAUUUGGUCAGCUUGUUGCUGAGGAAGCAUCAAAACGUGGUAGAUUACGUGAAGCACAUGCACGUAUAAGUGCACAUGCUGAAGAAAUUGCAUUUUAUGGUGGUCAUAAUGCUGAACAUCUUUAUCUUAGUACAGCAUAUAGAUCACUUGUUGUACAUAUUAGAAAAGUAUUGGCUGUUAAAUUAUGGUACAUAAUGCUUGAACAAUUUUUAAUGAAAUAUGUUUGGUCUGGUACUGGACUAUUUGUCAUUGCAAUGCCACUACUUUACACAAAUAAUAAAACAGUCAAUUCACAUGCUGAUGGUGAUGGUGGUGUCAGUGAACGUACACGUUAUUUAACAACAUCAAAGAAUUUAUUGAGUUCAGGUGCUGAUGCUGUUGAAAGACUCAUGUCUUCAUACAAGGAAUUAGUUGCACUUGCUGGUUAUGCAAAUCGUGUAAGUGAAAUGUUAAAUGUAUUUAAAGAUGCUGCUCUUUGUAAAUAUCAAAGAACAGUUGUUACAAAUCAACAAACAAUAAGAAUGACAAAUACCAUGACAAUGAAAACAGAAAGAAAAUUGGAAUUUAAAGAUGGUUCACCAAUUAUUAAAGGAAUUGUUUGUGAUAGUUUAGAUGGUACAAUUGCACUUGAUGAUGUACCAAUUGUCACACCAAAUUGUGAAAUAAUUGUACAAAGUUUAUCAAUAAUAAUAAAACCAGGUGAUCAUUUAUUAAUAACUGGACCAAAUGGUUGUGGUAAAAGUUCAUUAUUUAGAAUAAUAUCUGGUUUAUGGCCAGUUUAUGGUGGUUCAUUAACACGUCCUGGUGAAUCAUAUUAUUUACGAACAAAUAGACCAGCAAUGUUUUAUAUACCACAAAAACCAUACAUGACUAUUGGUUGUUUACGUGAACAAAUAACAUAUCCAGUACAAGUUAAACCCGAUAGAAAAAAUGAUGAAGAGCUAUUAAAAUUAUUGGAUCUUGUUGAUUUACGUUCAUUGGCUGAACGUGAACAAAAUGGUCUUGAUGCUAUUGGUGAUUGGGACUCAACACUUUCUGGUGGUGAAAAACAACGUUUAGCAAUGACAAGACUAUUUUAUAAUACACCACAGUAUGCAUUACUUGAUGAAUGUACAAGUGCUGUUAGUCUUGAAGCUGAAGGUUCAAUGUAUGAAACAGCUAAAAAAAAAGGAAUAACAUUAUUAACAAUAACACAUCGUGUAUCAUCACUUGCUAAAUAUCAUAAUUAUGUACUUAAAUUUGAUGGUGAAGGUGGAUGGAAUUUUGGUCUUCUUGAUAUAAAUAAUUUAACAACAAAUCAUCAUUUAAAAAUAGACAAUGAUUUUAAAGAAGAAAAAAAUUGUCAACUUCCAAAAAUACAGGAAAUUCAAGAUUUGGUUACUGAUGAAAAUCAACAACACAUUGGAAUAAGUUGAGACGCAAAGAAAUUCAUUAAAAAUACGUUGUUAAUGUUUUUGUGGCUAAAUUUCUGUGAUGUUUUAAAAAGCUUAUUGGAAUAAAAUAUAUAUUGAUAUUCAAGCUGCAUGUGAGAACCAAUCAUUUUAAGAAAUGAAAAAAAAUUAAAUAUGGGUGAUAUUGUUAUAUUAUGUAUUCAAUUUAUUAUGAUUUUAUAAAUGUAUGCAUUUUUUUUUAAAUUUAUUCAUUUUACAAAAAAAAAAAAACGAAAUAAAAAAUUACAAACGUAA